CGCCCGCAUCGGGAGCCGCACCAGUCACCCGCGGAACACCGCGGAACGUCCGCACGGCUCUGCGAACCCAGGGAUCGACGCGACGGUUAGGAACAUGGAAUCCUUCGCGACGUUCUGAAUUGGGAUCUCUGACCCACGCCGCGGUCAUCUUCUUGUCGGAUCCCUGCUUCCGCAUCCGUCCCGCCGCGCCGGGCGUGUCAGCGUUUCGCCGCCACAUCCACAAUGGCCGUCUG